UCGGGCCGGCCAGAGUGCCGUUGUGGACCAGAUCGUGAAUGCAGGGGUCUCCGCGGAGCUCCUGUUCGCCCAAAUCGACAAGAAUAAUCGAAAGGCUCAGGGGAUAGCCAGCAGUG
rnacentral:SRP_RNA from 1 species